AAGUCGUAACAAGGUAACCGUAGGUGAACCUGCGGUUGGAUCAUUAUUGAUUUUAUUAUCUUUAAUUUUCAAUGUUUGGGCAUACUCUAAAGACUAUCACUGGUUUUUGUAGGUCCUUCAUUAAUUUAACAAUGUGUGCACUGUAAUGUAAAGUUCGUCGGUGGUUUUACUACUACCUUCGAUCAUUUUAUUGAACCUUUUAAUCCAAUUUGUAGUAACCUAUUUUUUCUAAGAAAAAAGAUUAAACAACUUUUGACAACGGAUCUCUAGGCUCUC
rnacentral:misc_RNA from 1 species